rnacentral:rRNA from 1 species
GUAACAGGUCGUAGACCCGAAACCAGGUGAUCUACCCAUGUCCAGGAUGAAGGUAAGGUAAUACUUACUGGAGGUCCGAACCCACGCACGUUGAAAAGUGCGGGGAUGAGGUGUGGGUAGCGGAGAAAUUCCAAUCGAACUUGGAGAUAGCUGGUUCUCUCCGAAAUAGCUUUAGGGCUAGCCUCGAGGUAAAGAGUCAUGGAGGUAGAGCACUGUUUGGACUAGGGGCCCUUCUCGGGUUACCGAAUUCAGAUAAACUCCGAAUGCCAUGUACUUAUACUCGGGAGUCAGACUGCGAGUGAUAAGAUCCGUAGUCGAAAGGGAAACAGCCCAGACCACCAGUUAAGGUCCCCAAAUAUAUGUUAAGUGGAAAAGGAUGUGGGGUUGCUUAGACAACCAGGAUGUUGGCUUAGAAGCAGCCACCAUUGAAAGAGUGCGUAAUAGCUCACUGGUCGAGUGACCCCGCGCCGAAAAUGUACCGGGGCUAAACAUAUUACCGAAACUGUGGAUGAACCUCUUUAGAGGUUCGUGGUAGGAGAGCGUUCUAAGGGCGGUGAAGUCAGACCGGAAGGACUGGUGGAGCGCUUAGAAGUGAGAAUGCCGGUAUGAGUAGCGAAAGAAGGGUGAGAAUCCCUUCCACCGAAUAUCUAAGGUUUCCUGAGGAAGGCUCGUCCGCUCAGGGUUAGUCGGGACCUAAGCCGAGGCCGAUAGGCGUAGGCGAUGGACAACAGGUAGAGAUUCCUGUACCAGUGCUAAUUGUUUAACCGAUGGGGUGACACAGAAGGAUAGGGAAUCGCACGAAUGGAAAUGUGCGUCCAAGCAGUGAGUGUGAGAAGUAGGCAAAUCCGCUUCUCGCGAAGCAUGAGCUGUGAUGGGGAAGGAAAUUAAGUACGGAAGUUCCUGAUUUCACGCUGUCAAGAAAAGCCUCUAGGAAGAGUAGUACUGCCCGUACCGCAAACCGACACAGGUAGAUGAGGAGAGAAUCCUAAGGUGAGCGAGAGAACUCUCGUUAAGGAACUCGGCAAAAUGACCCCGUAACUUCGGGAGAAGGGGUGCUCUAUUAGGGUGCAAGCCCGAGAGAGCCGCAGUGAAUAGGCCCAGGCGACUGUUUAGCAAAAACACAGGUCUCUGCAAAACCGUAAGGUGACGUAUAGGGGCUGACGCCUGCCCGGUGCUGGAAGGUUAAGAGGAGUGCUUAGCUUCGGCGAAGGUACGAAUUGAAGCCCCAGUAAACGGCGGCCGUAACUAUAACGGUCCUAAGGUAGCGAAAUUCCUUGUCGGGUAAGUUCCGACCCGCACGAAAGGCGCAACGAUCUGGGCACUGUCUCAACGAGAGACUCGGUGAAAUUAUAGUACCUGUGAAGAUGCAGGUUACCCGCGACAGGACGGAAAGACCCCGUGGAGCUUUACUGCAACCUGAUAUGGAAUGUUUGUACCGCUUGUACAGGAUAGGUAGGAGCCGAAGAGACGUGUGCGCUAGCAUACGAGGAGGCAAUGGUGGGAUACUACCCUGGCUGUAUGACCAUUCUAACCCGCCACGCUUAGCGCGUGGGGAGACAGUGUCAGGUGGGCAGUUUGACUGGGGCGGUCGCCUCCUAAAGAGUAACGGAGGCGCCCAAAGGUUCCCUC